rnacentral:rRNA from 1 species
CGCGUAGGCGGUCGGAUGUGUCGGAUGUGAAAGCUCUGGGCUCAACCCAGAAAGUGCGUUCGAAACUGUUCGGCUGGAGUACGGAAGGGGAUGCGGAAUGCAGGGUGUAGCGGUGAAAUGCGUUGAUAUCCUGCAGAACACCGGUGGCGAAGGCGGCAUCCUGGGACGUUACUGACGCUGAGGCGCGAAAGCAGGGGGAGCAAACA